rnacentral:rRNA from 1 species
UACAGAGGUCCCAAGCGUUGUUCGGAUUCACUGGGCGUAAAGGGUGCGUAGGCGGUCGGGUAAGUCUGAUGUGAAAUCUCACAGCUUAACUGUGAAACUGCAUUGGAUACUAUUCGGCUUGAGAGUUGGAGGGGGGACUGGAAUUCUCGGUGUAGCAGUGAAAUGCGUAGAUAUUGGGAGGAACACCAGUGGCGAAGGCGGCUCACUGGACCGGUACUGACGCUGAGGCGCGAAAGCGUGGGGAGCAAACGGG